AGCCGAAACCUGACAGCAGUAGUUGUCAGGUCUGCCGGAGACGGUCUACCGGCACUGAUGAUGGCAGACCAAA
rnacentral:hammerhead_ribozyme from 1 species